rnacentral:lncRNA from 1 species
AUUGAUCCCAGGGGCACUCUAUCGCUGAGCCGCAAGCCCAGCCCCUCCCCAGCCCCCAGCCCCCCCACCGUUUUUAAUAUUUUAUAUGGAGACAAGUUCUCACUGAGUUGCUUAGGGCUUCACUAGGUUUCUGAGCCUGAUGAACUCGCCAUCCUGCCUCAGGAUCCCAAGCCACUGGAAUUACAGGUGGAUGCCACCUGACCUGUCUCUGAAGUUGUCUUUAUAGGAAAGAGCUGGGGGAGAAGUAACUAUGCAAGAACAGGGUGACUUGUGAGAAAGUUGAGCUAGGAGCUAGCACAGAACUGGGGGGAGGAGGGCGGAACUGGGGGCAGAUGUGGCUGAGGAGAUGCUGAUUACAGCGAAUAGGCAGAGCUGUGGCUAAGAAUUGGGGAAGUUGCUGAAUGCUCAAGCACUCUGUAAGGAGCUGGUGCAGAGAUGCAGGCAGAUCUUUGGAGAAAGCUGGGGAAAGACCUAGUGCUGCACCAGGGAGGGGGGACCUAUGGUCAAGUUGGGGGAGGAGCCCACAGAGCUGUGGGAGGAGCUGCCAGAUGCACAGGGCAGAAGUGAGGAGGAAGCUUAGGGUUUCUGUGCUGCACUCUUAGUCAAGAGGGGAAAAUGGCCAAACCAGGGUCCUCAUGGACCUAACCGAACCCUGAGUGUGUACUUUAGGGUGCACUCCAGAGGAGUAGCAGCUGGGAGUUCAGGGCUGAGGCUUGCACCACAGGGAUGAACCCCCCACAGCUUUCCUUUCCCCUAGAUGCAUUUUGGUUCCUGCCAGUGAGGCUGGGAAUAACCGUCUUUUGUUUUGAAGGGAGCUGAAUAGCACCACCCUAUGUGCUGCUGCCCCUCAGACCUAAGUUGCCAAAACCACCUCCCAACUUCCGUGCCAACCUGGCUUUUCGUCUUUCACACCACAACCUUCCCUCAGGAUCACCAUGCUUCCUUACACUGUCCUGCCUAGUGACUGGAGAGCCAAGUUCUAGGUCCCUGCCUCUACCUUACAUGUAAGAAGACAGAUUCCUCUUCCUUUGUUCCCUUUGCUACUUGCUGAGGUCAGGCCACAUUCUCUGGUGUCUGUGCUAUCCCCUGAUUUUCCUGACUGGCCUAGAGUCCUGUGUUGCGUCUUUUCUGUUGGUCCUCCAUCAUACAGUACCCCUCACUCUCUACCUUGCAAAUCAGUCCCCUACUGAAAACCUGCCAAGCCUUCUCCUGUAGGGGUGCAGGCGCCUCAAGUUUCAGCCCGAGCUCUCUCCCCCCUUCUGGACUAACACUGGCCAGAGUCAAAGUGUGCUUUGGGGUACCUGGUCCCUGACCCAACCUGUUCCACAGGACUCCUUGCUUUGAAGCUAUGGUUCGUACAGAAUUGAAUGCCCAUCCCCUCUUAUCCUGACAACCUAUCCUCCAAGCACAACUUUCAAUUCACCUUCACUGUUGCACAAUCAAGUGUCCUAUUUCUGGUAGCCUUCCUUCUGGUAGACCCAUGCUCCAAGCAUUGGGUCCUUGUAACCCAGAGCUGCAACUGCUCUCCCGGAGUCUGUGGCCACAGCAGGAUCUCUAAGUUCCUGGAAGGCAAGGCUGCUUUUACUCCUUUCUGUAAUCUGGGUGCCGGGCAUAGUAGCUGCUUAGUAAACAUCAGAUGGACCAGAGGAGUGCUCUCUCCCAGUGAGAGGUACUUGUACUUUUCCUGGAGAAGCUCAAGAAAACAGGAAAGCUGGAGGUAAAGUGAGUGGGAGAGGGUACCUUGUUCACAUGAGGGAGGCCUUAGGGCUCAAGGAGCCUUAAAGUUCAUAUGGGACUCCCACCUAGGUUGGUGUCCCCUCCAGGCCUCUUUCCUCCACAAAUCGUUCCAGCCCCUGCCCAGCACCACGGCAUCUCCUCAGAGCUGUUUGGAAUGUAAGUGAGGGUCCCAUCAAUGUGUGCCGUUCCUGUUCUUAGGCCCUGUUGUUUGAUGAGCUGGAACUUGCCUAAGGAGCUGGAUUCUCAUAGCACAUGGCUGCUAGUGGGGGCCUCCAUGGGGACAUAAUGUAAGCGCUCCUGCUUCUGACUCCUGGGCUGUUCCUUGCUCUCGUGUAUGCUGAGAAGUGGGGUGCAGUUCACAGAUGAAUGCACCAUCUCCCUGGGCAUAAGAGUGCCCAGCAGAGGCCUGAUCUGCUGUCUGAUCAGGAGGUGAAGUCCCGGGGUAGCAGCUGCAAGUCCAGCUCUCUGCUGCAGCAGUGGGUGGGGCCUUGGAAGCAUCGCCUCAGUAGGUUUUGCGUGGGGAGGUCUUUGGCUGCCACAGGGAAAAGGACAAGGAUGCUUUUGCAUCUUGAUUUUCAUUACACAUAACAAGUCAGUGGCAGCCCUGAAAAUGGGCUGAUGUCUGACCUCCUGAUCACAUUCUCUUCACUAGCUGCUCCCUGUCUCCCCUCAUGGACCAAAUCCUGGUGGGGACUCACUCCCACCUUCUCUGGCCAUCACGGGUCAGGUGUGCCCUCCCCUCCCCAGACCCAUCUCACUUCUUCCUUCCACUGUGUUUUCCUUGCAGGGGCUCCAGAGCCUCCAGGCCAGCAGUAGCCUGCAGAUAUGUGGAACCCUUUGGGGUUCCUUCCUCUGCUCCUUCUCAGGCACCUUCUCCUUGUCUACUCCCCACUAACACUGAGCUUUGCUCAACUCCUGGGAUCAGGAUUGAGUCUCCUCCACCAGCUCUGCUUUCUUCUCCAGACCAAGCCUUCAGCACAGGAGCCUUUGAGGGCUAUUCCAGAUUCAAAGUAAAACAGACGCAGAUAGUAGAAGAGCCAAGUAUGACCUUUGUGUGUUUCUGUGAAUUUAUGGUGCCAAAACAUUAUUAGCAGCUUUUAAUUUAAUCAGACUAUACUUUUUUUUUUUUUUUUUAGUGUACUGGAUAUUUAACCCAGGGAUGCUCUACCAGUGACCUUCAUCCCCAGCCUUUUUUAUUUGUCAUUUUGAGACAAGGUCUCCCUAACGCUGGCCUUGGACUUGUGAUCAUCCUGCCUCAGCCUUGCAAGUAGCUUGGAUUACAGACAUGUAGCACCUUGCCUGGUCCUGACACACUUUAUUCUUUACUCUCCUAAUAGUUCAGUCUUUAUGCAAACAAGCACUGAGUCAUGUGCUGUGCCCUCCAAAGCUGGGGACGGUUGGAAUGUCAUGCCAUGGCCCUGUGACAAAUCCAGAUUAUUUGUUUACAUGAUUGGGGGGUGAUGCCAGAGGACAAGUUGUCAACUCCUCUCCAUGGUUACCAGGCUGGAAUUGUGGGAUCAGUGGGCUCUCUACAGAAGACCCAUUCUGCUGACAUGUGCCUCCACACUCAAUGUGGCAACUUUAGAAAGUACAGAAACGUCUAUGAGAAUCAGAAACAAAGAACGGUCCUGAGGUCAUUUCUGAGAGGCAGGAACAUUUAUUUUUCUUGCUUUUUCUUCUAUACAGUGUUUGGUUAUUCAGUUGAGCACAUGCUGUGUUGCAUUUUUCCUCCUACUUUUUUUUUUUUUUUAUUAUGGUAAGUGUUAGCCCAUAUUCUGAAAGGUUACUCAGGAAAUUGGCCCGAUAUGGCAGUAGCUCUGUAGCCCAUUGUGAAUUCCACCCCUCCAUGUUCAAGACCUCACAGCAGUCAAAUCCUCAGGGAAUGGAUCAUCCCACUUUGGAUCCAGCAACAUCCUCUGUUUAGAUAGGUAAGCACAGCAGUUCUUCCUGAGGCCACCUUUCCCAUGGAGCUUAUUGAGACUCCAGAUAUGAGUGUCCCAUGGGACACUGUGUGCAAGAGCCUUCUCUGGUUAUUCCCAUUUCCCUGCUGUUCAGUGACCCAGCACAUAGCCAUUGUUGCCUUCAGGCAGGGCUGGGGGAACAUCAUAGCAUCUACUUGCCAUGGUACCGCAGCUUCCUUCCUGGGGACCUGGCCACCAUGUUAUUCAAUGUGUUCCAGUUCUGGAAGCUGGACUGGGGCAGGAACUGAGCAGGCAAGGUGAGUGGUUUGUUGGCAUGGCUGCC